rnacentral:lncRNA from 1 species
GGUAAUUCCUGGGAAUGGUUGGCAUAUGCAGCUGUCGCAGCUAAAAAUGCGUGUUUCCUGUUUCUUGCAGUCUUUUGUCCACUCAGGAAGGAUGUCUUCUCAGCAGCAGCAACAGUGCAAAGUCCCCUGCCAGCCUCCUCCACUGGUCCCUGAGCCCUGUCCUCCCCAGGUCCCACAACCUUGUCCUCCCAAGGUGCCUGAGCCAGCAGAAGUGCCCUCCUGGGCAGCAUCCUCCCUGCCAGCAGAAAUGCCCACCAAAGCAGAAGUGACACCCUCAACCUGGACACGAAGAUGACAACUCCUCUCUCUGCCCACCCCCGCCCUCCUUUCCAGCGACUGUAGGGAGCAACAGACUCAGGAGGAUCUACUCUCCACGGAUCCAACGAGAAUGACACCUCAUUCACAGACUUUCUUGCAGCUGAUCAAUGGACCCCUCGGAGCUUCAGCCUCUAGAAACCAACAGAGAACAGAGGCCUUCCCUGGGGCCUUUUGGUUUGUGUGGCCGGGGCAGGCCAGCUUUUCCAGCGGCUGGUUCCUAGCCUACUGCUUCUGUGGGCUUGAGAAGAUCGCCGGAAUGAGGGGAGCGCUCUUUCUGGCUUGCAUCCUGCCCUUUUCCAAUUGUUCUUUGAGAUUUCGAGAAGCCAAUAUGUGUUAAAGUAUCUUGACUUUAAAAAGUGGGAAAUCCCAAGUUUCUUUCUUCCCAGAUUUCUCAGGGCAGUGAGAUGAUGAUCUUAAUUAUUUUUUUCUGACCUGAUUCACAUCACCUCCCUGACCACAUCUUUAUUGCUAAAGACAGCAAACUCUGCCUUCUCCCAGCCUUGGGAUGCUGUUUCCUCCUCCUCCCCACUCCUCCCAUGAAUCCUGUUGUUCCCAGUGGUUUGAGUCGGCUCCCUGGCUGGAGGCGGGAGGAAGGGGAGAAUGUCACAGAUGAAGAACAGGCAGGGGAGCAGUGCUUGGAACAGCCACCAGGGGGCGGUGAGGAGACGUCUCCUGAUGAGGAGGAAUUUCCUGAAAUACCUCUUGAAACUACAGGAGUUUCCUCAAACUGGGACACGGGCGUUUUUCCCACCUGGUCCCUCUCUGGGCCUCACACUGCCUGGCAGCCUACUCUAGUCCUGGAGAGCCCAGAGAGUCUCCUCUGUUCCUCUGGAGAGGCGCCCCACAAAGAUGAGGAUGAGUGUGAGCCGGGGCAGGGUGUGUGUGUGUGUGUGUGUGUGUGACCGUAUUGGGGGUGCCACCGGGCUGAGCAGGAGACAGGGUUUUCAGGGCUCAAGGGAGAUUGGAAUUGGGGCUUAGUGCUUCAAUUUUGAGCCUGCAACUGCCCACCCGAGGAGAUCCCCUAAAGCCAGGCCUCUGCCAACCUUCCUAUGCCAGGAAAAAACUCCAUUAUGUUGGCAAUACAAGUUCAAGGAAAGUUCUGGGGUUUUUAGUUAAAAUCAUGAAAGCCAGAAAAUAAAAUCCACAUGAAGUCUGAAAAUCAAUCAUAGAAAUUUUGAUUUGAAAAUCACAUGGAUAUAAAUGUAAUUUAAGAUAUAAACAUAAUAUGAG